UACGUAGGGUGCAAGCGUUGUCCGGAAUUAUUGGGCGUAAAGAGCUCGUAGGCGGUCUGUCGCGUCGAAUGUGAAAACCCGGGGCUCAACCCCGGGCCUGCAUUCGAUACGGGCAGACUAGAGUUCGGUAGGGGAGUCUGGAAUUCCUGGUGUAGCGGUGGAAAUGACGCAGAUAUCAGGAGGAACACCGGUGGCGAAGGCGGGACUCUGGGCCGAUACUGACGCUGAGGAGCGAAAGCGUGGGGAGCAAACAGG
rnacentral:rRNA from 1 species